UGGCCAAAGGGCUCUGAGAGGAAGAGAUGUGACUCGCUCCUAGACUACAGCCAUUGACACCACCAGACUCGGCAGUGCCAUCUCUCUCCUGUGGCACGUGUGGAGGCCGAGCCUGAAAACGGUGUCUACCGAACGCCCGGUGAUGAGCAAGAAGGAAUUCUGAACUGCAACUGCAACUGAGAACUUGAACGAUCCUGUCUUCAGGUGGACUUUAUGAACGAACAGUUCAAUCCAGCUCCAGUGAAUUACUCUUUGUGUGACCUGGAUCUGAAACUAUCAGUGGGGCAGUUGGAAGCUCAUGUCUACACAUGGCUUUCCAGGGUGGCGUCUUUGCAGCAUUCAGAAAUCCUCUUCCGAAGAGCCCUUUGCUGUAUCCCCCCAUGCCUCCCCACCCCCACCC
rnacentral:lncRNA from 1 species